rnacentral:rRNA from 1 species
GGGACCCGUCCUUGAAACACGGACCAAGGUGUUGGGCCCCCUUUCCGAAACACACGGACCAGGGGUUUUGUUAAAUGCGUAAGUAAACCGUUCUUGAUUAGGCUGUGGAGGGAAAGAGAAUGCAUUGGUUCGAUUCUUCGGUCCGGACGCUGUUGAAAGAGCGCAGCAACGAGGUCUUAACAGGCACUCAUAGCGCAUUUACCGGUACCCGAAAAAUGGUGAUCUAUGCCUGACCAAGACGAAGCCAGAGGAAACUCUGGUGGAGGUCUGUAACGGUUCUGACGUGCAAAUCGAUCGUCAUACUUGGGUAUAGGGGCGAAAGACUAAUCGAACCAUCUUGUAGCUGGUUCCUUCCGAAGUUUCCCUCAGGAUAGCAGGGGUGGCCAACCGAAGUUUCUCUUUGUUCCGGUGAAGCGAAAGGAUUGAGGGCUUGGGGUCCAAAAGAACUUCAUCCAAUCCCCAACUUUUAAUGGGUCCCAAGACCUAUUUUCCUCCUUGGAUGGGUGAUCAUCACAAUAACCCUCCCUUGUGGGCCCUUUUGGUAAACAAAACUGGCGCCGGGGUAUGAACCAAACGUUGAAUUAAAUCGUCCAAAAUUACGCUAACAAACCCAUUGAAAGUGGUUAAUUCUUCACUCAGCAGGACGUUGACCUGGGAUGUUGAAUCCCCCUACGAGUGGGGUAAAACAUGAGUCGGAUCCGCUAAGGAGUGUGUAA